UGAUUUUAUUUCCUUCUUGGAAAAAAGACAAAGUUCUGUACAGAGGUCUGACAGGCAGUGACUUGACACAAUUGGCUGGCUUUUGAGUUCACUACUCAAAUGGUGAGAUAUGGUAUGGUAAGACAAAACAAUAUUGUACACAGCAUAUUGCACGAAAUGAAACAAUAAAACAUAUCUAUAUAUAGUCCAAAACUCAUGAACAACACUCUUAAACAUAGGGAUGUAUAAAGAUAUAUGUUCUCGCUCCUGUCAUGAUAUAACAUUGUCCGACAUAAACACGCACUCUUUUACUUAUUUUACAGUCAAUGUACAUAGAAAUCUUCAUGUCGACCCUCUGCCUUAAACACGACUGCUCUACAUAAACCUGAAUUCAGAAAUACAAAAUGCUAUUUGCCAUGCCGUAAUAUACUAAAACGAUUAGCUACAUUUAGCCAACAUGUAGAAAAAGAUUAAAUAUCCUUGUACAAUUAUGGAGCGAAGACGUACUUCAUUGUUCAUGAAUUUAAGAGGCAUUUCGACGUAUCUGUAUAAUUCCAUCCAGUGGUUAAAACCAAAACGUGUCACUAUAAAAGCACGAAGAAAUCGGUAUUCAAAAGGUACAGUAUCCAAUAAGGACGUAAUAAAUUGCAGACGUCGCUGCAGCUACAUACAACCUCAUUCAGCGCUCAUCGUAGGCUAAUGAUGAUUGGUCGUUGAAAUUCAGACACUGUCUCUUUAAGAAGCCUGUGGAUUGACACUGUAAACAUGGUUAGGGGGGCAGAUUUUUGAGACAACCCGACCCCCUGGUUUUAAAAAUCGGAAAUCCAAACAGCGAUAUUCACCGAUUGACACCCCCCCCAGCGGGCGCCUCGAUGUCAAUUUGACGUCAAAUUUCAGACAAGAUUUGAUCAAGAUGGUGCACCACAUCAUUUCAAAUUCAAAUCAUACAUUAAAUUCUUCAAGGUUUUUAAUGAGGUGAAAAUAUGAGGUUUAUCCCAUACUGAAAUUGGUUAAUGUAAGUAUAGCCCAAUAUGUUUGACAUUGAAAUGACGUCAAAUCAACGUUGCAUUAUAGGCAUUCAUUUGAUGUUGUAUUGACAUCAUAUUGACAUCAAUGUAAAUCCAGUUGAAAUAGCAUUUUUCUUCUAACUGGCCCCUCAAAAUGCAUCUAUUUGUCACAUCUUUUGAAGCAGUUGUUGGAUUUGUACAUGAAAGUGGACUGCUGUAACUUCUGUGGUAAAAAACACUUUUUUUAAAAGUAUGUAAAUACUCAUGCUGAAAUAAAAGGAAACAGUGAUUGUUAAAUUUUACAAGAAAAUAUACUGAUUUGCCAAUAAUACAUUCAGAUGUAAUUACAAUUUAAAAUAUUAAAAACAAAAGCAGCAUUUUUGCUGUAACCCCACAUAAAGUAUUAUGUAUCCUUAUUUUUGUUAUUUAUAGUGAUAUUAUAUUACUGUAAAAUUAGAAAAACAUUGCUGUAAUUGAAAAUACUCAUAAAAUUGUAAUACCUUAUAAUGUAUGUACCAUUUUUACAGUAUUACAACUUCAUGUUCAUUUUAGUCAAAAAACUCUUAUAAAUAUUUUAUAAAUUUUUAUUUUUCCUUAAUUUUUAUUAAUAAUCAUUAAUUAAUCAUUAAUUUUAUUAUGAAAAAUGUUGGGCCUACAAUGCCCAUUCAUUCUCUGUAGUUUUAAUGCCCAUUUAUUAUCUGUCUUAUGUAUUUCUUAAUACCACCUGUAGACGGCGCCAUGGCCUAUUUCACAUUUCCGGGUUUCUCAGCAGCUGAAGUUAGUGAAUGGACUACAACAAUUAAUUUAUUUUUUGUGUGAAAUUUGAUGCAAAUGUAGUAUAACAUAUUAUUUUAUACAUACACGUAAAAAUAUAAAAUUUAUAAAAAUAUUUGGAGGAUUUACUACGUUGACCGUUGAAACGUACGUCAUCACGUCUUGCGUAGAGGCCAGUGUUUGCUAUGCGGUCGAAGCAUUGGACAAGGUUGUCGCUUUUUAUCAGAAUUCUUACAAACAAAUUGAUGUCAACAAUGAAUAUGGAUGGCUCAGGGCUGAAGAAGGCCUUUGGAAAACACGGCUAUGUCGUGUUAUAAUAGGUGCACUACAGCAGUCCAAACCUUCAUUAUCAGAGGCUGAAAUAAAAAAAUACAGCUAAAAAAUCUCCGGUCUGCUCCCGAUAGAUGUGGGGGUAUGGGACGACAAAAGGGGAAAUCGGCGAUUGAUGUGUGUUCAGAUUCUGAAUAAGUAGGCCUUAAGCCAAUUGUUUAUCAAAAUUAUUUUUGUUCAUUUGGGAUAUGAUCUGGGAAAACCCAUCACAUGGUGAAAUAAAAAAUACUGGUUUUAGUAUCAUAUGAAAGCUAUUAAGCCCUUUCCAAAACUGUUUUUAUUUAAUUUACAAAUUGUUUUUAUGGAGUGGGUGGUCUAGUGGGUUAAACCACUGAACUGGUAAAUCAAAAGGUUGCUAGUUCUAUCCUAGUAGCCACCACCAGUGUGUCCUUGAGCAAGACACUUUACUCCCCGUUGCUCCAGGGGGAUUGUCCCUGUAAUAAGUGCACUGUAAGUCGCUUUGGAUAAAAGCGUCUGCUAAAUAACUACACGUAAAUGUAAAUGUUUUUAACAAAUGGAAAGGGCUUGAGAGCUUUCAUAUGAUAUCAAAACCUGUAAUAUGUACAAUUUUGUCAUGUGAUGGCUUUUUCCAGAUCACUUAAUAUUUAUAUAUCAAUUUAAAUGUUAAUAUUUAAUUAAAAAGUAAUUCAAGGAGGAUUUUAUAUUUAUUAGUGGUUUAAGAACAUUUUAAAUUUCUGGAAUUGUAGCUGAUUGUAUUUAAUAAAACAUGUCUUACAUUAA